AGUGAACGCUGGCGGCAGGCCUAAUACAUGCAAGUCGAACGGCAGCACAGCAGAGCUUGCUCUGUGGGUGGCGAGUGGCGGACGGGUGAGGAAUACGUGGGAAUCUGCCCAGUCGUGGGGGAUAACGUAGGGAAACUUACGCUAAUACCGCAUGCGCCCUUCGGGGAAGGCCGGGACCGUCGGCCGUGGCGCGAUUGGAUGAGCCCACGUCGGAUUAGCUAGUUGGCGGGGUAAAGGCCCACCAAGGCGACGAUCCGUAGCUGGUCUGAGAGGAUGAUCAGCCACACUGGAACUGAGACACGGUCCAGACUCCUACGGGAGGCAGCAGUAGGGAAUAUUGGACAAUGGGCGCAAGCCUGAUCCAGCCAUGCCGCGUGAGUGAAGAAGG
rnacentral:rRNA from 1 species